AAAGAUAGAAGGAAGGCAAAUAGUCGUCAGGGAUUCAAAUAGAUUCCAUCACUUUAAAGGAGGUCUAUGUUCUUGCGGUGAUUAUUGGUGAAUUCAAGCUCUUCGAAUAGACAAAGAGAUAGCAGCAUAUCACAGUUGGUUCCUGUAUAAGCAAAGGCACCAUUAACUAAUGGAGCUUUAGCUGACAGGCCUAUACCCGAAGU
rnacentral:misc_RNA from 1 species